rnacentral:rRNA from 1 species
AGUGAACGCUGGCGGUAGGCCUAACACAUGCAAGUCGAACGGCAGCACCGUAAGAGCUUGCUCUUCCGGGUGGCGAGUGGCGGACGGGUGAGGAAUACAUCGGAAUCUACUUUUUCGUGGGGGAUAACGUAGGGAAACUUACGCUAAUACCGCAUACGACCUACGGGUGAAAGCAGGGGAUCUUCGGACCUUGCGCGAUUGAAUGAGCCGAUGUCGGAUUAGCUAGUUGGCGGGGUAAAGGCCCACCAAGGCGACGAUCCGUAGCUGGUCUGAGAGGAUGAUCAGCCACACUGGAACUGAGACACGGUCCAGACUCCUACGGGAGGCAGCAGUGGGGAAUAUUGGACAAAGGGCGCAAGCCUGAUCCAGCCAUACCGCGUGGGUGAAGAAGGCCUUCGGGUUGUAAAGCCCUUUUGUUGGGAAAGAAAAGCAGCAGGUUAAUACCCCGCUGUUCUGACGGUACCCAAAGAAUAAGCACCGGCUAACUUCGUG